CCCUUAGAUGUUCUGGGCCGCACGCGCGCUACACUGAUGCAUUCAACGAGCCUAUCCUUGACCGACAGGUCCGGGUAAUCUUUGAAUCUGCAUCGUGACGGGGAUAGAUUAUUGCAAUUUUUAAUCUUCAACGAGGAAUGCCUAGUAGGCGCAAGUCAUCAGCUUGCGUCGAUUACGUCCCUGCCCUUUGUACACACCGCCCGUCGCUCCUACCGAUUGGGUGUGCUGGUGAAAUGUUCGGAUCGGCCGUUUGUCGCGGUUUCCGCGUCAUGUGGCUGAGAAGUUCAUUAAACCCUCCCACCUAGAGGAAGGAGAAGUCGUAACA
rnacentral:rRNA from 1 species